AAAUUGGUCCUUUUUAGGGCCACAACACACAAACAUGAAGAGGGUUG
rfam:Harpegnathos saltator strain R22 G/1 HarSal_1.0_3.contig7784, whole genome shotgun sequence.